GCCUAACACAUGCAAGUCGAAUGGUAACAGGAAACAGCUUGCUGUUUCGCUGACGAGUGGCGGACGGGUGAGUAAUGUCUGGGAAACUGCCUGAUGGAGGGGGAUAACUACUGGAAACGGUAGCUAAUACCGCAUAACGUCGCAAGACCAAAGAGGGGGACCUUCGGGCCUCUUGCCAUCAGAUGUGCCCAGAUGGGAUUAGCUAGUAGGUGGGGUAACGGCUCACCUAGGCGACGAUCCCUAGCUGGUCUGAGAGGAUGACCAGCCACACUGGAACUGGGACACGGUCCAGACUCCUACGGGAGGCAGCAGUGGGGAAUAUUGCACAAUGGGCGCAAGCCUGAUGCAGCCAUGCCGCGUGUAUGAAGAAGGCCUUCGGGUUGUAAAGUACUUUCAGCGGGGAGGAAGGGAGUAAAGUUAAUACCUUUGCUCAUUGACGUUACCCGCAGAAGAAGCACCGGCUAACUCCGUGCCAGCAGCCGCGGUAAUACGGAGGGUGCAAGCGUUAAUCGGAAUUACUGGGCGUAAAGCGCACGCAGGCGGUUUGUUAAGUCAGAUGUGAAAUCCCCGGGCUCAACCUGGGAACUGCAUCUGAUACUGGCAAGCUUGAGUCUCGUAGAGGGGGGUAGAAUUCCAGGUGUAGCGGUGAAAUGCGUAGAGAUCUGGAGGAAUACCGGUGGCGAAGGCGGCCCCCUGGACGAAGACUGACGCUCAGGUGCGAAAGCGUGGGGAGCAAACAGG
rnacentral:rRNA from 1 species